UUUGAACCGUGCCGCCAGGUUGUCGACGUGCUGGAAACCACUGGCCGUCAGCUGUCAAGCUGGCAUAUAAACACUCUCGACUCUCGCGGCCCGUUGCUAUUCCGUCAAACCUGCUCUUUCCUCGAAUUUCUCGUCAUUGCUCACUUUUUUUACUCUUCUUUUGUUCUCACGUUCAACAAAAGUUCGUUAGAAAAUUCUUCUUAAAUAUAUAUACAAUUAUAUAAUUUUUCGUGUCUUCCAAAUUUCUCGAAGCAACGGACAGGAAAGAAAUUGAAGAACGCACGCGCGAACGUUAAAGUGUCAUGAUAGGUGACAGACAAGAGCUAUUCAGCGUGUCUCAACGACGUCUUUACGUGGACAAUCGAUCUCCGAUUAUGUUAAGAGGAAACGACCUGAUUUCAGCUUAAUUCGAUCCGUUGCGUUUCCUCGUAAAUAUAUAUGCCACUUGACCACAGACUAUACGGUUGUUUAACGAGUAUCGUUCUUCGAUAGCAUGGCGUUCCUUUUUUUCUUUUCUUUCACGUCCCACCGAUAUUUACAGAACACUCCUUCGAACUACGUCUCGACCCGUUCGUAUUGCCUCUGUGUAUCUGUGUAUUCCCUAUUUGUGUGUGCGCGAAUGUAUAUACAAGUUGGCGCGGAUGGUCACGCGAAGAAAAAAGCAAAGAAUUCCUGGAGGCUUCUGCGAAGGAGGCACCGUCGUUCGCGGCCGAAGACCGGGUGAAAAGGAAUCCUCUUGUGUCACUCACAAGCCGAGACAUUAAAUAAUGCACCGGUACACGCGUCGUCUUUUGACAGGUACGACCUUGACUUUCGAACGCCAGACUCGUUUCUUACUCGUGCGUUUCUCUCUGUCACUCGCUUUUCUACCACGAUUCUUUCGAAACAAUCUUCUCGUAUCUGCACGAACGACUCGCGUUCAUCGUCUACGUCUAAUAACAAACUUCUUUCUUCUCGAUCGUCGAUGCGCGACUGCCAGUCGGCUUGUCGCCGUUUUUCUAGCCCAGGCGACCACUCGUUCACGAAACACACAGAUAGACAGAUGAGACGAACGUUAGUAAAAAAAGACGCACUCUGUUGGCCAACUUCCCGCUUGUGGCUGCUCCGUGGCCCACCUAGAAAUGUCAGUGGCGGUCUUGCCAAAGUCGAUGAUUUCGAUGACACGACCUCUGAUGCUACGUUCUGAAUUACAACAAGAACCACAGUGUGUGUUUUCGUUCUUAUUUCGUAUAUGUGUCUGCAGAUGUGGAUUAAUAGAAAAGAAAAUUCAUGCACUGCCGGAGGAUCUCGUUUUCCUGUACUCGUCGUGCCGCUAAAGGACGGUUCGUCCUAGCGGUCGAGUCUCUUCUUUGCACACCGUACCUCGCGACAAACUAGAAAGCGGAACCAGCUCCGCAAUGGAAAACCCUGAACGAAGUCUUCCAAUACAUCCGACACGUUCCAAGUCCAGCGGCAGACUGAAUUCGUCCGGUGGCUGUCAGGCCGCAGCACCGUCGACGCCGAGCGUUUCUCCCAUCCACUGCCGCGCAGACCCUUUCCACCAGUCCCCCACUACUCAUAGUCGGCGCAGCGGUCGCAUUUACCUUUUCCUCUUGCCUCUCCAACGUCCUAACCACGGCUUGCAGAAAGACUCCCGACUCCCGAUCUAUCGCUGUUCCUUUCUCUGUCUGAUACACUGGCAGACGCCGCGCCGCGUCGGUGCGCGCACACAGAGAGUCAGCAACGUGUCUCCGCGUACCCUUGCAGCGGGUGUCCUGCGUGCAAUAGUGUCAGUACGGCAUCGACGUAGCGAACUGCAUGUGAGACACGAACAUAGACGAGCAAACACACGCGUGGCCCGGGCCAGCAGCCGGUUAAGCCAGUACAUAUGUCGCGUCGCGUCGCGUCGUAGCGUAACGCAAAAAUCAUCCGCGUGCUGGUGUCGACGGUGAUAUCCCAGCGACAGGAUGGCGCGCUGUUAUCCUGGUAGAAGGGAAGCUGGCGAGAAGGACUCGAUACGGUGACACUGCCGCGCGGUUUCGUAGCCUGAAACCGUUCGAUUAAUCGCGCGUGAUCGCUGCAACUUAAUUACCAGAGACUUCAGGGCAGGUGUCAACGAUUAUCCCUGGGCAUCGUCGUGUCGCGCGAAGAGUGAAAAGCAGAAGAGCUGGAUCCGCUUCCAAAAGGUUUCCCUUCGGAUUUCAUCCUUCCCAGGACUUUUCGUCGUCGUACGUCUGGAUAACGAGCAGCCGAUAAGACGAUCCCAACGACGUCGAGCGUCGCCCUUUGUCAGCACCCGUCGAUUUCUUCCCCCUUUUCCCGAACGAUAGAUGGGGGAUUUCUCGGGGAUCUUCCAGGAAUUCACGCGGCUACGGGUUUCUUUUCGAAGAGAAGCGGAGAAUGCCGAUGGACGCGUCUUAAUCCGAGUCGACUGCCCUCCUCCCUAGGAGAGACGAGUUCUCUCCAAUCGAUUGUUGCGGCUGGUUUCUUUUCUCGGUACUUACAUCCUCGAGGUGUGUUUGAAUUGGCCCUGUACGUGUGACCAAGCUGGAGAAUUGUUACGUUUUCGGUUGAUGUUAUACGUGGCCUGGUUCGGUAGCUAUGGAUGGCUAGGUAGACACACGUUUCUCUAACUUUGUGUAUUUUCGUGAAAGGGAAUAAAGCAACAGAAAUCUGAUAUUUGUUCGAUCCUCUUUAUUUUCAAAUGAUAUAUCAAGAAGAAUGUAUAUAUAUUAUCGUUAGUAACUAAAAUAAAUACGCGUCGUUUUCUGAGUUAUUAGACAGCAUGUUUGGACAAAUUUCUAUUUCUAUGACAAAGGGUAGAGGAAUGGAACUCGAGAUUUGUUUCACCCUCGUUCUUAUGGAACGAAUAUUAUGGAAAUAAAAAUGUACGUUACUCUAAGUAUCUAAUUCAAACUAUUACUAAACUCUUUAAGAUACAAUAACAAUAUUUGAUAUAAGAUCGUAAGAUUAUUUGUACGAUAAAAUCAUUUCGAUAAACCAAUCUGUAUCGAUAAAAAUUCUGUAAAAUCAAUAGGCUAAAAAUUCGAAGAGAAGUACGACAAAUCUUAAAGAGCCGCAAACGUUGGAAACUACGCAAGUGGAACGUGUAUACGCACAAUACGAGCCAGAUGACGAAGCGAAAAGGAGACAGAGAGAUCAUGUGUAUCAAAAGGGUGAGGGUAACACACGUGUCUGUCGUUGGGUCAGGGUCGACGCGUAAGCGAGAAAAUCGAGAGGGAAAUCUGGCUGCUGCCAGUCGAUACAUCCGAGGUGGUCCUACCCCAUAUUACACACGGUGAGGGAUGUUUGCUAUGUCCCAUUCACGAACCAUUACGAAAUACUGCAUGCUGGUUAAUACCAGCACCGCAAUCUGUAACCAGGCACAAUGCCAUGGAAAAAGUUUCCGUUAUAGCGAGAAAUUUAUCUCUCGAUAAACCAACGAAAUCAUUGUGAAAAAUUGAUUUCCUUUCCGACGAUUUACACCUCUUGAUUUGCGAAGAGAAUUAGAUCCAAGAGACGGAAGAAAAGGGAAGUAAAGAGAAGAACAGAUUGCUUAUAAGAUUAGGGUUUUGGGUAUACAUCUUCGUUUAGAGCGAAAUAAUCAAAAUAUAUAUCAAUGACAAAAUCCACAAUCACUUAGUUGCCAACCCAAUACAACAACAUACAUUUUUCUUUGUAUAA